GGGGCUGUCUUGGUUUUGACGGUAAGGUAAAUUGGAAUGUAAGCAUGUCGAGCUUUGUGUUUUGGCUCGUAAAUCUCAAGGCUCAAAAACAUAAACGGCGAAAAUAAUUACGCGCUUGCUGCUUAAUCUCACUCAGUGAAUUAACUUAAUUCCGACACCAGGUGUCGGAACAAGCUGUCUCUCAAAGGGCCCUGUUUAACGGCACUUGAUAUAGAGGCAUCGUAAAAGUUAAACUAGUUUAGUUAAUGCUUCGAUAACUAAGCGAAAUUAAGAAGCUAAGGUUUGGUUCGGCUGCUUUUUGCCAGUCCACUCACGAAAACCAAUAAAGAGAUAAGCAUGUAGAACGCAUUUGGGUUUCUUAUUCGGACGCGGGUUCGAUUCCCGCCAGCUCCACGA
rnacentral:tmRNA from 1 species